AUUGAACGCUGGCGGCAGGCUUAACACAUGCAAGUCGAACGAGUGGCGGACGGGUGAGUAAUGCUUGGGAAUAUAGCUUAUGGAGGGGGAUAACUACGGGAAAAUGUAGCUAAUACCGCGUAACAUAGAAUGAGCCCAAGUGGGAUUAGGUAGUUGGUGAGGUAAAGGCUCACCAAGCCGACGAUCUCUAGCUGGUCUGCGAGGGUGACCAGGCACGCUGGGAAGGAGACACGGCCCAGACUCCAACGGGAGGCAGCAGUGGGGAAUAUUGCGCAAUGGGGGCAGCCUGACGCGGCAAUGCCGCGUGAAUGAAGAAGGCCUUCGGGUUGUAAAGUUCUUUCGGUAGCGAGGCGUUAACUACAGAAGAAGCACCGGCUAACUCCGUGCCAGCAGCCGCGGUAAUUC
rnacentral:rRNA from 1 species